rnacentral:lncRNA from 1 species
UAUGACAUAUCUCAUGCGAUCCUUUGGGCUUCUAAGAUUCCACGUAUAACAAAUAUAAGCAAUAGUGUUCUUAGGAGACACCAGAUGUGUUUAGAUCAGACUGAUCAAGUUUACCUUCAUUUACAGAAUCCAAAGGCUAUAUUUGCUUCAUUCCUAACACCAGAUCAAUGAGAAUAUACUCGAACAUAAACAAAUACCUGUGACAUCGAAUAUAAAUGGCAACAAGGGAUUCACGAAAGGCCCGUUUGAGCAACCAUGACUAGUGCUCAUCUCAUCAUCAUCUCUCUAUAUGGCCAAAGUUGUAGACAUGACGUGUCUGAUAAAAACUUGUCCCCUCUUACUUGAAAAGUCAACUUAUUUUGACUUGAACAAGUCGAGACGAGUAUCCCAAAGCAUUCAAAGCUGAUGCACCUCUGAUAGUUUCCCAACCCCAAUUUACCAUCCAAAUAUCUGAGCCCGUCCCAAAGGAAAUUGUAAUCGGCAUACCAACGGUCUUCCUCUUUCUCCAACAUGCAUCGCCACAAAAUCAUCAUGUGGAAGCAAUGUAAUUAUCUAUCUGGCAUCUGGGUAUUUGAACCAGGAACAAAGACUAUCAAACUAAUCAUCAAAUCAAGUCAAGAAGAUGCAUUAAAAUUUGCACAGUUGCAAAGAAUUCUUGUUCUUUUUUUUUCACUUUCAAUUUGAAACAUGAACUCAAGUACAAGUUGGCAGAGAAGAAAAAAUUCACACAAAGGAAAAGCCCCUGGUUAUAGUUCAACAUAAAAACCUGGGAAAAGAUGAUCAGAGAGCUUUAUCCUGAAAUAAAUUCCAAACUUUGUUUGGCUGCAAUUUCCAUCCAAGUAAUUGGGUUGCAAGUUUCAACUGGUAACACCUGCCAUUAAAUAAACCAAACAUGUUGGUAUUAGUCAUGAGUUAAGAGUGGUGCAAAAUAUGUUUACCACCACCAGAAUAAUAUGACGUGAAAAUGAUUGGAUAUGCAUGUUAGAUCUCAAAAUGUAUAACCACCAAAUGUAACAGAACCUCUGCAUAGAGAUUGCCCUUGUACAUUGAUCAAAACACAAGUUACAGGCAACACUUUGAACAAGUGAUAAGUUUUGCCAACUAGUUUGUACUUCAAUUAGGUGAUAUUAUCUUGGACCAAUUGCCUGCCAUAUUAGAUAGAAAAUAUGCAAAUAAAUUUCAAAGAUAUCCUGUUUGAGAAAAAGUGCAAAAAGACUUUUAAAGAAAUCAUGUUGAAUACAAUAUGUUUCAGAGUUUCAGGGUCUAAACUUGUCAAAAGCCCUUAUUAGAGUUUAUUAACAAUAUGUUUCAAAUGGUGGUGUUUGUUUCACUUUAUCUACUAUGUACCUUACCGGUUGAGUUAGGAGCAUUUGGUUAUAUAUUUCAUCAAACUAUAUUUGACUAGUGUCGCUACUGAGAUUUGGUACACCUAGAAGUUUUGAAUUUGAUGAUGUGCAUAUUUUGCUAUUGCAAGGUUUCCUUGAGCAGUUUUGGAGCAAAGAUUUUAAUUCAAUUCAUUGAUGUUUAGUUUAAAUGAAUAUGUGAGAUUUUGAUAUAGGACACAAACAUAUUACUGACCAAGAGGCAAAUGAUCUGAUAUGGCAAGUGAGAAAGUCAUGGUCCCAGCAAUAGAAUGUAUCCUAAUAAUUCUUAUGGCAAGUUAAUUUAAUAUGGGAAUAUGAUAUCUAAAGUGAAUGUAAUAAAUUUCCUACCUUUAACAUGAAUCAAAAUAAAUCUGUCUUAAUCAAUCACAUAUACCUUGAGAAAUUACAUUACAUCAUGCUAAUCCUCAACCUAUUUCAUCUAAGGGUUCUGUUAAACCAUACAUUAAUACACAAGAUCAGUAUGUUCUCAGCAUAGUAGAAUGGUAUGUAUUAUCUACUUGAAUCAAAUUUAUGCUAUGCAAAUACCGGUGUUUAUGUAUCUACUGUUAAGCCAUAUGCAUCUGUAAGCCCUAACAUUUAACAAUAUAAUUUUCUAUAAUUUCUCAGAUAGAAUAUAUGUUAGCAAAAUGAACCCCUCAAUUCCAUAAAAAACUAUUAAAUUCUUCUAACCUUUCUUCCCAUUUUUCUAUUGAGUACUAUCUUUAACUAAGCCUGGUAGAAACAUAGAUAUAGUUCUAUGGAAAGAGAAAGCUUGGAACUGAAAGAAACCAAAAUAAAACAUAAGCAUUAAAUUCCAAGUUAUCAAAGUGUACAAAAAUAUAAGAAAAAAAAACUAAAAUAGGUCAGUAGUAUCUUCAUAUAGUAGGAAAAUGUCUUACUUCUAUCGUGAACAUUUCACAGGAUGCACAUUUGGACAUACAUAAUGUACAAGACAUUUAUUUGACAAGUCCAAAUUAUGCAAACUUAAAUGCCUGAAAACAAGCAUCAAAUAUAUCUUACAUUAUAUAUGUUUAAAUGCCAGUUAGCGACUUGAGUAUAAUGUGCAUAAACAAAAAUUUGGUCCAGGUAUCAAGAGACAGUAAUGCAGAUUAGUUUCUCACAGCAGUGGUACCAAUUCCUGUUGCAGAUCAAUUUAUCUUCAAUUCUGGACCAUGAUGGCACAUGUUGAUGUCUAGCAUAUUAAUAUGUUAAACAGAGAGAUGGGCUAACUGGCAUAUGAAAUCACUGUUUUGAUAGUAUUGUGUCCUUUUCUGACAAAAGAAAGAAAUAUUUGAUAUAGAUUAAACCUUAUAUCAUUUAUUAUAGUUUGGAUGUCAUCUGGAUUCUUUGGCUAAAUGUUGCCAUGUAAAUGAACACAACCCUCGACUAUUCAGGUACUCUUUCCAGAACUAGCCAUCUAAAUGUUAAUCCUUGGUAGCAUGAGCAUAAUUGGAUGACUUGAAAAUAAAUCAUGCCACCCACCUCAUCCAUGUCAUGCAAUUCUCAAGUAUGCCAUCAAGGUAUACAUAGUUUCAUGCUCAUAUCAUAAAGAAUUACCUAGAUAUGUGUGUUCCGGUUGAUCCUUCUUCACAUGUUGACAAUUAUUGAGAAUGGCUAAAUAUGUACCAGAUGCAUCCACAGCUGGUGCAACCACAAAAACGAAGAAGGGAAGAAGAGGAAGAAGAAGAGAUACCAGAGCAGAGGAACCAGAGUACUUCUCUGUGCUGCUCAGCUGCACAGCAUUGUGAUCUCCAGGCACAGAGCAUAGCAAAAUGAGUGUGAAAAGAGAGAGGAAUCUGUAUUGUGCCCUUGCAUCCUGCAUCCAAUCCUCGAAGACUGUAGAUCUUGCAACCUACUUAAUUGAAAGAAAACCACUUCCUAAUGUUCAAAGGUUGCCUGGCUGACGUACCCGACUUGUGAUGGAACACAGCAAUGGCCUCACAGGUUAGUGAGCCCAUGUGGCAGGAAAAGUAGUCAAAACUCAAAUAAAUAGAAAUAAGAGAGAAUAUGACAAAACAUGUUUGCCAAAUUAAGAAAUAUGCACAAACAGAUGGAUUUUGAUCUUUGAAACUUUAUGUUAUAUCUCAAUUCUAUAUACUAUUUUAUAUUAUUAAUAAAUGCAUCUCUGUGUCCUUGUGCCAAGUUGGAUACUCAGAUAUGUAUCUGAAUCUUAUUCCCAUAUCCAUGUCCAGGUAAUGAUGGUGCCAUGCCCCAGAAAUGCAACCAGGGGACUAUAUUGGCACCUGACCAUCACAUCAUGAUCAGGGGUAGGCACACACUUGGUGGGUCAACAGCAAUCCCAAGGGACAUUCUGGGCCUGAUGUAUGACCCUAGGGAGUUUCUUUCUUGUCUAAUCUUGUCCUUGUUGAAAUUGCAUUGAGACAAUAACUGUGUUUUUGCACCAAUAUGGCUCGCUGCUAAUGGGAAAGGAAAUGAAAUGGAUCAUUAUGAUAAUUUAUAAUUUGGGAAGAGAACAAUUAAUCCAUAUAUCGUUAGUCAAUGAUUUAAAAAGCGCUAAGCACCAAGGUCCCAAAAACGCCCGAGGCACUAGGCGCUCACUCAAGCGAAGCAAGACGUUCUAAAAUAUUAAAAUAUAAAAAAUAUAUAAUAUAAUUAAUAAAUAUAAUUAUUUAAAUAAAAAUAUAAUAUUAAAUUAAAAACAAAUAUUAGCAGUGUUAAAAUCUAAAUAGUAUAUUAUUAAUCUAAUAAAUAAAUAUU